rnacentral:rRNA from 1 species
CAGCGCCACGAGUGGCAACCGCAUAUUUGGCCUAAAGCGUCCGUAGCUGGUUUGGUAAAUCUUUUGUGAAAUCGUUGGGCUUAACCUAACGGCGUGCAGAAGACACUGCCAAACUCGAGACCGGGAGGAGUUAGAGGUAUUUCUGGGGGAACGGUAAAAUGUUAUAAUCCCAGAAGGACCAUCUGUGGCGAAGGCGUCUAACUAGAACGGCUCUGACAGUGAGGGACGAAAGCCAGGGGAGCGAACCGGAUUAGAUACCCGAGUAGUCC